rnacentral:rRNA from 1 species
GACGAACCGUGCGAACGUUGUUCGGAAUCACUGGGCUUAAAGGGCUCGUAGGCGGUCCAUCACGUCGGGAGUGAAAAGCUGGGGCUUAACCCCAGUCCUGCUUCCGAUACGGGUGGACUAGAGGUAUGCAGGGGAGAACGGAAUUCCUGGUGUAGCGGUGAAAUGCGCAGAUAUCAGGAGGAACACCGGUGGCGAAGGCGGUUCUCUGGGCAUGAUCUGACGCUGAGGAGCGAAAGCGUGGGGAGCGAACAGG